ACAGUUAAUUGAUUUGUAUAUUUUUUUCAGUUAACGUCUCCGGUGAAAUAAUAGAGGAAUAUUUAUUAAAUUUCAAUGAAACCUAUUUCGAAAGCGACGGAGAAGCAGAAUUGCCCCUUUUUUCGUCAAGUUCGGAUUCUUACGAAUCAGAUAAUGAAUCGCUUGAUUAUACCAAUACGAGUCAAGGAACAGGCAGACCACGCGUACGUAAGAUUCGACGUCAAAGAAGUCGCCAAGACUCUCGACGUACCACUCCUGAAUCCCCCCAAGCUACGGAAUGGUCUAACGAGGAUUUCAUUCCCAACGUAGUUACGUUUACAGAGCCAGCGUACCUGCCUUUAAAUAGCGAUGGGUACAAUGAAACAAAUUAUUUUACACAAUACAUAAACGAAGAAUUAGUUAACCUCAUCGUUGACAAGUCCAAUUUAAGCUAUGCUGUAGAUACAGGGUCACAACUUAACCUAACAGCCGCAGAAUUCUACCAAUUUCUCGGAGUAAGUCUGGCAAUAUCGUGUAUUGGCUAUCCGACUUUACGGAUGUAUUGGGAUCGGAAAUUCAAAUUUCCUUUGAUAUGUGCCGCUAUGACCCGUGAUCGAUUCGUUUUGUUGAGAAACAGGAUUAAAUUUGUAGUAGAUGCUGAUGUUUCAGUUGAAGAACGUAGUGCUGAUAAGUUGUGGAAAGUCCGUCCAUUGAUUAAUGCAAUCAAACAAGGUUGUCGCGCACUGCCAAAGCAACAAUGCCUCUGUGUGGAUGAGAUAAUCGUUCCAUUUACAGAACAGUGUAGUAUUAAACAAUACUGCCCUGGAAAGCCUAAUCCUGUUGGCUUAAAAAUGUUUGUGCUAGCUGAUCCUCAGGGCCUAAUAUGCGAUUUCGACGUAUAUCAAGGACAGUAUACUUACCCUAAUUACGAUAACACUCAUUUCAGUUUGAGGGAGAAAGCGGUCUUAAAUCUUACAGAGGAUCUUAUUCCUGGGCACAAACUGUAUUUUGACCGUUAUUUUACUAGUGUCAAAUUGAUAAAAGAGUUAACAAAAAGACACUUGAUGGCCACUGGAACAAUUCAGAAAAAACGUAUUCCUGCAUCAGCUAAACCUUUGAUACAAAAUAACCGCGAACUGCAUCAUGAAGGUCAAGGAGCUUGUGAAGUUUUGACUGAUUCCAGCGAUAAUAUAGCGAUAACUCAAUGGUUCGAUAAUAAACCCGUUCUUCUUAUGUCCAACAUUCAUGCCAAGGAGCCUACAGAUACCUGUAAGAGAUGGUCAAAGUCUUUAGGUAUUUACACACAUGUCUCUAGACCUGACGUCAUAAAAGCUUACAACACCAACAUGGGUGGUGUUGAAUCAGCUGUCAAAUUACUGGCUGUCGCUCCGAACCGCUACAAAAGCCGAAAAUGGACAGAUAGAUUCUUCGGUCAUAUGAUAGAUCUGGCAGUAACUAACUCGUGGGUUUCAUAUAAAGCUGAUCAGACUGCUCGAGGGACUCCAAGUAAACACAUCAAAAAGCUUCGAAGUUUCAAAUUGGAGUUAGCUAAUGUCUUAAUUGAUACAUAUUUUGAGACCUCGACUGCUCCAAAUUUAUCAUCCCCGUCCACUCCUCAGAAGAAGCGAAGAGGCAGGAUCCCUGUGAUUCCAACACCAUCUCUUCGAUGCAGAAGGUAUAAUGCCAGACACAUUGCCAUAUUUGCAGAUCGACAAAAUAAAUGCAGGGUCUGCCACAAAAAAACUUGGAUGUCAUGCACGAGUUGCCAGAUUAAUUUGUGUAUCGUGAGAGACAGAAACUGCUUUAGGGACUUCCAUUCUUAGUCAAUCAUCUACGAAAAACAUUGCUGAUUCACGAUCCUUUAUGUCAUUUUCCCAGCACCGAACCAAUAAAACAAACUUGUGAUAAUGAAAAGAAAAAUAAACAUAAGAAAAAAAGGAGUGUAGGAACUGUUAAUACAUACAAAAUAAAUAAAGAACUUAAAGAUAAAGGCAGAGAAUAUGUUACAAAAAAAGGCAAAGUGAUCGCAGAAAGGGCAAUGAGGGAAAAUCCUUGUGCACCUGGAAAAUGCCAAAGAGGUUGUUUUGAGAUAACUGAAGAGCAAAGGAGGGCCAUUUUUAAUUUAUACUGGAGUCUCGAAGUGCGCCGACGCUCUGAUUGGUUGAUUCGCUGCGCUAAAAUUGGAUCUGUGAAAAGAAAGAAAAAUAAGGACUCGGACAGAAGGAAAUUAUCAGUAGAUUACUAUAUUAAUAUCAUCUACUAAAGACAUUACUGAUUCACGAUCUUUUAAAUAAUUUUCCCAGCACUGAACCAACAGAACAGACUAGUGAUAAUGAACAGAAAAAUAAACAUAAGAAGAAAAGGAGUGACGGACAUGUUAAUAACAAAACAAAUAAAGAACUUAAAGAUGAAGGUAAAGAAUAUGUAACAAAAAAAGGCAAAGUGAUCGCAGAAAAGGCAAUGAGGGAAAAUCCUUGUGUACCUGGAAAAUGUCAAAGAGGUUGUUUUGAGAUAACUGAAGAGCAAAGGAGGGCCAUUUUUAAUUUAUACUGGAGUCUCGACGUGCACCGACGCUCUGAUUGGUUGAUUCGCUGCGCUAAAAUUGUAUCUGUAAAGAGAAAGAGAAAUAAGGACUCCAACAGAAGGAAAUUCUCAGUAGAUUACUACAUUAACUUAGGCAAAGAUCGUAAAAAAGUUUGUCAAAAAUUUAUUCUCUCUACUUUGGAUGUAUCCCAAAAACGUUUAACCUACACUCUAAAGAAUGCAAAGGAAGUGUCUAAUAAACGAAGAAAUACUUACAGGAAAUAGAGAAUAUGCAAAGGUUUUUUUUUCUCACAUUUCUAUAGAGUUUCUCCUACAAACAAAAAUGUAUGUGUCUCUUAAAUUAAAUAAAACUAUAAAAUGUUUUGUAAAACUUUUUAUAGUCCUGUUUUUUUUAUUCAGAACAAAGGUAUCACCGCAAUCACACCUAAUGUUAACUGAGAAGCAGUCUAGGAUGGUGCCUGCAACUGCCCUAUAAGUGCCUAUUCACUCUCGCCUUAAAAAGGCCCGAAUUAUAGUGUUCGGGAAACAGCAGCAGGCAGCGAAUUCUAGUCCCUAGCGAAUAUAAUAUAUCUAUAGAUGCAUGCAUUAUGCUCAUGCAUGUCUACUUGUAAUACUGUGUUGAAGUUGAACUCACGUGCCAUUUAUUCAACAGGCGACCUAAAACUGGUCACAAUGGUGAAUGGAAAGAAAUUUUUCAUGUAUAAAGGUUACACUUACUCUUUCGGGUUCUCUUCCCGGGCGGGCCAGAGGUGGCGGUGCAGCUGUGGAUGCAAGGCCUUCAUCAUGGUGUCAAACGAGGGUAGUCUGUUGAAAUCAUCCGGGGAUCAUAACCACGGCCCUUACAAGUUCGUUCAGAUCGCAGAUGGAAGAUACUGCAGAAUGUGAUCUGACGUCACAUAUAUGUACAAAAAGUCUGAAUAUUCUUAUUUUUUGUUAGAUUUAGUUACCAAUAGAAUGUCUUAGAAUCUGAACAUGAUCUGUCGAUCAAAUUGUUUAAUUUGUAUGUGUGUAGCUUAACAAUAAAUGGUAAUAGGUUAUGUAAAAAUAACACAGGCCUGCAAAAAACAAUUUUUUUUUUUGGUGCAGCUCUUUUUGUAUAUACGAUCGAUAAUAUGGGUAAUCUACAAUAUAUUGACAUACUUCAUUUCAACUCAUCAGCUCUAGUUUGUCGACUACCCUCAUUUUAGUUUUUUUCCCGUCUUGUUCGCAAAUAGUCAUUAUUACAAUAACAUCGAUAAACUUUAUGUUACUAUUUAGCUAUGGAUAGUACGUCCAGAUGUUGUGUUAACGAUCCUGAUUCAUUUUGAUAAGUUUGUGGUGAAUACUACUGAAAUAUCAGCGUGAAACCAUUAAAAAUACGGCGAAUUUUUUGUAUUUUGCUUACUUCGGUAUUGAAAUUCAAAACAAAGGUAAGGUGUAGGUGCCUUAAAUUGUAUGUAUAAUGUGCGUUGAACAUCUGCGAAGAUAUUAGAAAGGCACACGUAAGUUUUUGAAGCUUGGAGUGCCUAUGAUAUGGCGAAAAUGGCUAAUAUUUCCAGUUAAUUUAACAGAAAUUUCCAAGUUUAAGUACUGAAAAACUAAAAGCAGGCAUAUUUGAUGGACUUAAAAUAACUGUAUUAAUAAAAGACUCCACUAAAUUUAAGAUUUCUAUGAACGAUGUGGAAUGGUUGGCGUGGAAAUCUUUUGUAACAGUUGUACAAAAUUUCCUGGGAAAGCAUAAGGCUGACAACUAUGUAGAAUUAGUAUAGGAUGUGCUGGUUCAAUUCAAGGAUUUAGGCUGUUAUAUAGGUAUACAAUUACACCAUUUUAACAGUAAACUAGAUCAAUUCCAACAAAAUUAGGAGAACUAAGCGAAGAACAAGGAAAACGUUUUCACCAAGACAUAAAAACAAUGGAGAAUAGUUACCAAGGAAGAUGGGACGCUCAUAUGAUGACCGUCUACUGUUGGAGAAUCAUGCGAGAUUGCCCAAGUAAGUUUCGUUCGAAAAAAUCACUCAAAAGACAAUUUCUUGAUGUUUAAUGCUAGUAAAAAUAUAUAUUUAUUGUGAAAUUUGUUUUUUAGUUAUCUCGGGAACUAGAGCUGAUAGAGAAAAACUGAUUACAUUUUUGAUAUCGCCAUGCAAGACAUACUUAAAAUCAGGUCUUAAAUCCCCGGCACCAAAAUGGCUGUAGGCCAGUGUAAUGUGUGUAUUUGAAUACAUGGUCAUGAAACUUAUUUUUAUACUUGAUUUAUAAUAGGCGGUAACAUAUUCCUAUAGGCUAUUCACCUGUAUGUAACAGAAUCACGAGUAGUUCUGCAGUACUGAGUUUAUUUCUAUUAUAUUUCAAAAUAUUAUAGGAGAAAGAAAUGACGUUAUCAGUGAAGAGAGUUUUUAAAACACUGUGUUUAUUAUAAAAGAUCAUAUUAUGUUUUAAGGUGAAGAAUAUGAAAUAAUAACACUAUUAAACACCAAUGACAAGCAGUUCAUCAUGUACAACAAAUACACGUACAGCUUCAGGUCCCAGUCCCGGGUGGGACAAUCUUGGAGGUGUACUAGCACUCUACACUGCCGAGCUAGCAUCAAACUGAAUAACGAGGGGAAAGUAGUGAAGGCCGUUGGGGUACAUAACCAUUCACCACCGAUGUACCAUAAGGCAGCUGACGGGAGGUAUGUUAAGAUUUCACGACGAUAGCCCAAGUGUCGGCGUCGGACUGCCGAUUUGAAGCUCGGCAAGUCGAUCCCCAUCGAGCGCUAGACCAUUGUGGUGAAACCACUUGUGACGCAAGCAUAUUCAGCUUAACUGUAGUGGUUAACGGACAUAAUAGUAAUUGUGCAGAAAGUUUAUUAAUAAUUGUUAAGGACGGACAUUUUGUAAUAUAAUGAUUUGUAUUGCAUGAAAAUAUGAAUACAUUUUG